AUUGAAACACCGGUUCCCGUAUGAUCACUGAUGUUAAGCAACAUCGAGUCUGGUCAGUACCUAGAUAGGUGACCACUUAGGAAUACCAGAUGCUGUAAG